UAAUGAAUAGAAUUAUUUAUUACAUUUACUUUCAGGUACAUUCCGUGUUUCUUAACCACUUUAACCUCGGACAGGGUAGAUGCGAAACAAAGUAGUAAGAAUGGGAACCCAGGCCCGCGAAAGCCAUGAAAUGUUCGUCCAGAGGAAAAUAAAUGAGCUCCGACCAUCAAACUUAAAGUUGGAGGCAGUGCGAUGCGAUGGAAUGGCGACUUUCCGCUAAUUUUGUAUGCAGCCCACACAAAUCUAGUCAUUAUUAAAGGCCAUGGCUGCGAACUCAACCUCAACUGGACUUUGAGGCCGAAGUGGUGUCUGCUUUUUGCUCGUUUGAUUUGAUCCAUUAAUUUUGAGCGGAGUUGCUUUGGCCAGGAAAAAGUUCUUGGACAACAAAAGUGGGAUCUCGUUGGGCCCGUUGAUUUGUGUGGCGCUUUUCUGGGUGAUUAAGUCAUUCAUCAGGCGGCGGCGACAGACUAAGAGGCCAUUUUCCUAACGCGGUUUUCUAAUGAAGCGUUAUGCCGAAUAAUUAGAGGCUUUCCUCAAUCCCUCAUGGCUUAUCUGGCCGCCAAUAUUUCCACUCACUUCUUGCAAUUAAAAAAGUUUCGCCUUUGUCAUGGUUACGCAAUAAAUUUGUAAACUUCCACGGC
ensembl:ncRNA lncRNA:CR45654 long non-coding RNA:CR45654